GGGAAACUCACCAGGUCCAGACAUAGGAAGGAUUGACAGAUUGAGAGCUCUUUCUUGAUUCUAUGGGUGGUGGUGCAUGGCCGUUCCUAGUUCGUGGAUUGAUUUGUCUGGUUGAUUCCGUUAACGAGCGAGAUCUUAACCUGCUAAAUAGGUCGCCGAAGAUACUUUCGGUAUGACCUUCUUAGAGGGACUUUGCGUGUUUAACGCAAGGAAGUUUGAGGCAAUAA
rnacentral:rRNA from 1 species